UACGUAGGGGGCAAGCGUUGUCCGGAAUCAUUGGGCGUAAAGAGCGUGUAGGCGGUCCGAUAAGUCGGCUGUGAAAGUCAAGGGCUCAACCCUUGAAUGCCGGCCGAUACUGUCGGACUAGAGUCCGGAAGAGGCGAGUGGAAUUCCCGGUGUAGCGGUGAAAUGCGCAGAUAUCGGGAGGAACACCAAUGGCGAAGGCAGCUCGCUGGGACGGUACUGACGCUGAGGCGCGAAAGCGUGGGGAGCAAACAGG
rnacentral:rRNA from 1 species